AACGAACGCUGGCGGCAGGCUUAAUACAUGCAAGUCGAACGCACUCUUCGGAGUGAGUGGCAGACGGGUGAGUAACGCGUGGGAAUCUACCCAAUACUACGGAAUAGCCCCGGGAAACGGGAAUUAAUACUGUAUGUGCCCUAAGGGGGAAAGAUGUAUCGGUAUUGGAUGAGCCAGCGUUGGAUUAGCUAGUGGGUGGGGUAAUGGCCUACGAAGGCGACGAUCCAUAGCUGGUCUGAGAGGUUGAGCAGCCACACUGAGACUGAGACACGGCCCAGACUCCUACGGGAGGCAGCAAUAGGGAAUAUUGGACAAUGGGCGAAAGCCUGAUCCAGCCAUGCCGCGUGAGUGAUGAAGGCCUUAGGGUUGUAAAGCUCUUUCAGUGGGGAAGAUAAUGACGGUACCCACAGAAGAAGCCCCGGCUAACUUCGUGCCAGCCGCCGCAGUAAUAC
rnacentral:rRNA from 1 species